UAGUAUGUUAACACUGAAAAUGCAACUAUGUACCUUGAUAAUGUAAUGGAUAACAGAAAAAGCUGAGUGUGUAAUGUUGGACACUGCAUGUACUCAGCGCUCGUGGCUUGCCUUAUGUAGCAGAAGGGGUGGAUUGUGUAUCUGAUUGUGAUGCUGAUCUCUAACUAUUGGAAUUAUAGAAUAAUGUAGCAACUGGCGAAACUUCUGUGAAGAUAGCACCUUACAAAUCCCUCGCCUCCACUGACCCCACCCUGUUUCUAUGCAACACAAAGACUGGACCCCCUCCCCGAUUCCACUGGACACUACGACCCCCCGAGGGACCCAGAAUCAGAUGAUGUCACUUUUGCCAGCCUGUUUAAAAGCCAGCUGCUUCCGUUGCUUAGAAACGACCCUUUUGAGAGAGACGAAGGCAAGGGAAAAAAUGAUGUUUCCAGCUGAUACACUGAGCACUCACAAUGGCAACUCCCACACUGUGGAUUUUGGUCCAAGAUGCCUCAGAUGUGUUCUUAAAAUACUUGACCCAAACUACAUCACACGCAUUCACCAGGAAAUGCAUCAAAACAGUCUGCAUCGCCCCAGCAUCUGAUAUCAUCCUCCUAAAGCCUUCAGAAUUCUGCUAAAAGGCUUUUGAUGGUUGUAUACAUUGAAAAAAAAAAACUACUCAAAAUGUAGUUGCUUUUUCUAGAGGGUUACAGACACAUAUCAGUACCCAGUCAAUCCUGGUAAGAUUUGGCGUACACCGAGUUGAAAAAAGAGUAACAAUAAUGCUAUGAUGAUGACAAAUAACUUGAUGGUGCCAUGACUAUAACUGAGUCUUAGUGGCAUAUAAACAAUUGGAUAUUUCAAAUAAAAAGCAUAGUAUGUCUGGUAACACUUGUACGAAGGUUAUAAAUGUAUUGGAAACACUUUACAACAAAUAGUUCGAUAAAUAAACUUCAAUUGGUUCAAAAUGCAGCAGCCAGAGUGCAGAGAACCAAGAAAUAUGAUCAUAUUAGCCCCAUUUUAUCAUCGUUACAUUGGCUACCUGUUAAAUUUCAUAUUAUUAUACAGUUUGUUAACUACAUGCAAAGCUUUGAAUGGUCUAGCUCCACUGUACUUAAGUGACCUUCUGUCAUGCUCUAUUCCAUCACGUUCAUUACGAUUACAAUAUUCUGUCCUGUUAAUAGUUCCUAGAAUAUCAAAAUCCACAAAAAGAGGUAGAUCCUUUUCCUACUUUGGUAAUAACUAUGGAAUAAUCUCCCUAACACUGUUCGGGACUCAGACACACUCCCUCAGUUUAAGUCUAGACUAAAGACUCAUCUAUUUAGCCAGGCAUACACCUAAUUUAUCCCACAACUCACAAUUAGGCUGAUUUAGUUAGGUCUGCUGGAACCAGAAACCAGAAACAUUGAUCGUGAUCUAUAACUCUGCAAAAGAUUGAACGGCAUCUACGCUAAUAUUAUUGUAUUUGUUUCCAUGUCUCAUCCUCGGGAUACAUAUCCCGAGGUUACCAGAUCCAGCUCCGUUCCUGCAUGAUGUCGGACUCCACUAGUCAUUAAUCUUACAGUUCUUACAAAAUCUAAGUUUAAACACUGACACUUAACACUUACUUAGUUUAAUAAUUUUAAACCAUGACUUGCACUGCACAUAAUUAAGUAAUAUUUGCAUUAUAUUCGUGUUGUUUAGUCAGAGGGGAACUGGCCCCUACAGUGAGUCUGGUUUCACCCAAGAUUAUUUUUCUCCAUUAAUCAACAUCUUACGGAGUUUUGUGUUCCUUGCCACAGUCACCUUCAGUUUGCUCACUGGGGGUCUAAAUAGUUGUAUUAUUAUGAUUUAAUUAUGUAUUUUUAUGGACAAUUUACAAUCAUAUUAAAUCAAACUACAUAAUGAUGACUCUAAGACAUUAUAAAUAUUACAUUUUUAUUUUCUGUUAAUGCAUGUUUCCUGUAAAGCUGCUUUGAAAUUAUGUGUGUUGUGAAAGGUGCUAUUCAA